UGGGGAAUUUUGGACAAUGGGCGCAAGCCUGAUCCAGCCAUGCCGCGUGAGUGAAGAAGGCCUUCGGGUUGUAAAGCUCUUUCAGACGGAAAGAAAUCGGUGUGUCUAAUACACGCACUGGAUGACGGUACCGUAAGAAGAAGCACCGGCUAACUACGUGCCAGCAGCCGCGGUAAUACGUAGGGUGCGAGCGUUAAUCGGAAUUACUGGGCGUAAAGCGUGCGCAGGCGGUUAUGUAAGACAGAUGUGAAAUCCCCGGGCUCAACCUGGGAACUGCGUUUGUGACUGCAUAACUAGAGUACGGCAGAGGGAGGUGGAAUUCCACGUGUAGCAGUGAAAUGCGUAGAGAUGUGGAGGAACACCGAUGGCGAAGGCAGCCUCCUGGGCCAGUACUGACGCU
rnacentral:rRNA from 1 species